AGAUCAUAUUUUGUUUACAAAAUUAUAUUCAGCAAUUAGUUCUGUAUUUAAAUAGUAUUUAUUGAUUUUCAAAAAUUUUAUUUUUUGAAUAUCUUUAUAUAUGAUUCAUUCAUUGAAAUUUGUAAAUUAUAUGUACUAAUAUCCAUAUCGCUUUCUCUUUUGAAUGACAAGAAAUUCAAAAAUUUAUUACUGCAUUGACAAAAUCAAGAGUGAUAAAGGGAUAUCAUUACAAGAUGGCCAGGGAUUUCUCGAUCGACAGGUUAAAAGGAAGAAUGUACACAUAUACAAGGUGGGGAGUUGCGUUGCGCAGAACGUCCUCUGUUCGAGAAAGAGAAUCUGACUCGUGAUAGAUAUGCGUUUGUGUGCGCUCGCACGCGCACGAUAGUGUCAGAUACACAGAAUUGUGUAAAGAAAAAGGUGAACAUGAGAAGAGAGGGAGUAUUGGAAAUGGGACGGGAAUUAGAUGACGCCGUGGCAGCAGCCACCUAGCCACCCAUUUCAGUGACAGCGACAGCGACGGCAAUUCUUUAUGAGGUGUUGCUAGUUGCUUGUAUCCGUUAUUUUUUUCUUAAUUUUAAUUAUUGAGAAUAAGUGAGCUUAAUAAUUUUUUUUGAUAAUCUCUUAGUAAUAUAUUUAUUCAUAUACUAUAUAAUAAUAAGAAUUAUUAAAUAAUUAAUUAAUUUAAAAUACGAUAUCAAGUAUUCAAUGUUAUUUUUAGUCUUGAAUUUUAUUUUGCUUUUAACAGAUGUAUUUUUAAUAUUCUUUCAAAAUCAAUUAUAGUUUUUUAAUAAUAUUUAUAUUAACAAAUGUCAUAAUAUUUAUUCAAAUCAUUAAAAAAAAUUCAUUAUUUUUAUAAAAAAUGUUGAAUUUUACUUGCGAAUUAUAUCUUAAGUAUUUCAUACUUAAAAAAUUAUAUUAUGAUUAAUUUUAUAAAAAUAAACCUUAGAUUCAUUAAUUUAAUAUUCCAAUAUUCUGAUAUUAGUUAUUGAUUAUUUUAAUAUUAUGAUAUUUAUAUUUAAUAAUUGAAUAAAAGAAAUAUAUGAUAAAAUCUUUAAAUUUUGAAGUUAAAAUAAAAAUUGUGUAAUUUAUUAGCUAUUCUUCAAAAUUUGUUUCUUAUAAUAUAUGUUUUAAAAAAAUAAAUUGAAAAAUAAAAAAAAUGAAAUAGUAUAUUUUAUAAGUUUUAAAUAUUUCAUUAUAUCAUUUCAUAAGUAUAUUAUUAAAAGAUAUAAGAAUUUUUAUGUCUAUAUUACUUUUGGUAAAAUCAGAAAUAUUCAUAAUCAAAUUUAUAAGUUAAAAAAAUAUUCAAAAUCAAUAUUUUAUAAAUUUUAAUUUUCUUGAAGAAUAAUAAUUAUUCAUUUAUAAUUGAUUUAUAAUAUUUUUUUUUAUAAUUCUUCAUUCUUUGAAACCAAAAAAAAACAAGUAUUUUAAUUUUAAAGUAUUAUCAUAAUUUCUUUUAAUAGUAAUAAUAUUAAUAUUAUGAUAUUAUUAAUUUAUAAAAUCUCAAAAUAUAAAAAUUAUGUUUUAUUAUGCAUUAAUACUAUUGAAAAUUUGUAUUUUAUUGUAAAAACUUAAUACAAUAUCAAAUUUAAAUUUUGAAUUUAAAAUCUUAAAUAAAUAUAUAAAUAAAGAAAGAAUUGGCAAAAAUCAAAUAAAGUAAGAAAUAAAAUUGUGUCAUAUUAAUUAUAUAUAUUAAUAUACUAUAUAUAGUGUACUAUAACACAAGUUCAUUUUAAUAUUUUAUUGCUAUAGAAUAUAUUGUACUUAAAUUAUAUUUAUUUCAAUAAAUCACUAUUUAUCAAUUA